rnacentral:rRNA from 1 species
AUUGAACGCUGGCGGCAGGCUUAACACAUGCAAGUCGAGCGGGGUGAUGGUGCUUGCACUAUCACUUAGCGGCGGACGGGUGAGUAAUGCUUAGGAAUCUGCCUAUUAGUGGGGGACAACAUCUCGAAAGGGAUGCUAAUACCGCAUACGUCCUACGGGAGAAAGCAGGGGAUCACUUGUGACCUUGCGCUAAUAGAUGAGCCUAAGUCGGAUUAGCUAGCUGGUGGGGUAAAGGCCUACCAAGGCGACGAUCUGUAGCGGGUCUGAGAGGAUGAGCCGCCACACUGGGACUGAGACACGGCCCAGACUCCUGCGGGAGGCAGCAGUGGGGAAUAUUGGACAAUGGGGGGAACCCUGAUCCAGCCAUGCCGCGUGUGUGAAGAAGGCCUUAUGGUUGUAAAGCACUUUAAGCGAGGAGGAGGCUCUUUUGGUUAAUACCCAAGAUGAGUGGACGUUACUCGCAGAAUAAGCACCGGCUAACUCUGUGCCAGCAGCCGCCGUAA